CGGAAGAUCUACGAUAAAAUCCAUGGACAAGUGGGUCCAGGGUCGUUCACCAUUAGGUAUGGUUUGCAGGAGACCCACUGGAGGGUGUCGUGGGGUUUUAUUUUGAGCGCAUACAGGACAGGCAGCUACAAAAGCGGUGACAUCCGAACGGAGACUAGGCCACCAAAAUUGCCGAGAGACGGACCAGAUUAAUUGUUUUUUGCCUGGAUGUCCAGCUGCUUUGGGGUUGU